UACGUAGGGGGCUAGCGUUGUCCGGAAUCAUUGGGCGUAAAGAGCGUGUAGGCGGCCCGGUAAGUCCGCUGUGAAAGUCGGGGGCUCAACCCUCGAAUGCCGGUGGAUACUGUCGGGCUAGAGUGCGGAAGAGGCGAGUGGAAUUCCUGGUGUAGCGGUGAAAUGCGCAGAUAUCAGGAGGAACCCCAAUUGCGAAGGCAGCUCGGUGGGACGUCACUGACGCUGAGACGCGAAAGCGUGGGGAGCAAACAGG
rnacentral:rRNA from 1 species